rnacentral:rRNA from 1 species
AGGAUACGCUGGCGGCGUGCCUAAACAUGCAAGUCGAGCGGAGGGGAUAGGAGUUUACUUCUUGAACCUUAGCGGCGGACGGGUGAGUAACACGUGGGUAAUCUGCCCUUGAGAGGGGGAUAACAGGUCGAAAGGCCUGCUAAUACCGCAUAACGCUAAGAAGCUGCAUGGCGUCUUAGCCAAAGGUUAAUUCCGCUCAAGGAUGAGCCCGCGGCCCAUUAGCUAGUUGGUGAGGUAAAGGCUCACCAAGGCAACGAUGGGUAGCCGGCCUGAGAGGGUGGUCGGCCACACUGGGACUGAGACACGGCCCAGACUCCUACGGGAGGCAGCAGUGGGGAAUAUUGCGCAAUGGGGGAAACCCUGACGCAGCGACGCCGCGUGAGCGAUGAAGGCCUUCGGGUUGUAAAGCUCUGUCUUCCCUGACGAUAAUGACGGUAAGGGAGGAGGAAGCCACGGCUAACUACGUGCCAGCAGCCGCGGUAAUACGUAGGUGGCAAGCGUUGUCCGGAAUUAUUGGGCGUAAAGGGUGCGUAGGCGGCUCUUUAAGUGGGAUGUGAAAUCCCUAGGCUCAACCUAGGAACUGCAUUCCAAACUGGAGAGCUAGAGUGCAGGAGAGGAAAGCGGAAUUCCCAGUGUAGCGGUGAAAUGCGUAGAGAUUGGGAGGAACACCAGUGGCGAAGGCGGCUUUCUGGACUGUAACUGACGCUGAGGCACGAAAGCGUGAGGAGCAAACAGGAUUAGAUACCCUGGUAGUCCACGCUGUAAACGAUGGGUACUAGGUGUAGGGGGCGAAUCCCUCUGUGCCGCAGCUAACGCAUUAAGUACCCCGCCUGGGA